UGGUAGCUGUUUAUGAUAUAUGUUUCU
rnacentral:piRNA from 1 species